AGCUCCAUCAAAUUGUUGAAAAUGUUCGCCACUUUUCGUUCAUUCGUCGUCCAUAUGAAGUGUGGAACAGAUUUGAGGUCUUAGGUACAAUGAACCAUUUAAGAACUUUCGUUGCCUUACCAAUUCGUACAUUGCCUUGGGCAUGUUGCUACUUAAGCAAGAAAGUCUUACAUGACGUGCUGCCAAAAUUAAGAUGCUUAAGAGUUCUGUCAUUCAGUGGUUAUCAAAUUAGCGAGCUGCCAGAUUCAAUCUCUAGUUUGAAGCAUUUACGGUAUCUCAAUAUGUCUUGCACCAAAAUUAAAUGGUUACCUGAAUCCUUAAGCACUCUCUUAUACUUAGAAACACUGUUAUUAUAUGGCUGCACAGAGCUUACUAAGU
rnacentral:misc_RNA from 1 species